GACGAACGCUGGCGGCGUGCUUAACACAUGCAAGUCGAACGGAAAGGCCCUGCUUUUGUGGGGUGCUCGAGUGGCGAACGGGUGAGUAACACGUGAGUAACCUGCCCUUGACUGUGGGAUAACUUCAGGAAACUGGGGCUAAUACCGGAUAGGAGCUCCUGCUGCAUGGUGGGGGUUGGAAAGUUUCGGCGGUUGGGGAUGGACUCGCGGCUUAUCAGCUUGUUGGUGGGGUAGUGGCUGACCAAGGCUUUGACGGGUAGCCGGCCUGAGAGGGUGACCGGCCACAUUGGGACUGAGAUGCGGCACAGACUCAUACGGGAGGCAGCAGUGGGGAAUAUAGCACAAUGGGCGGAAGCCUAAUGCAGCAACGCCGCGUCCGGGAUGACGGCCUUCGGGUUGUAAACCGCUUUCGCCUGUGACGAAGCGUGAGUGACGGUAAUGGGUAAAGAAGCACCGGCUAACUACGUG
rnacentral:rRNA from 1 species